UACAGAGGGAGCUAGCGUUGUUCGGAAUUACUGGGCGUAAAGCGCACGUAGGCGGCUUUGUAAGUUAGGGGUGAAAGCCCGGGGCUCAACUCCGGAAUUGCCUUUAAGACUGCAUCGCUUGAAUCCGGGAGAGGUGAGUGGAAUUCCGAGUGUAGAGGUGAAAUUCGUAGAUAUUCGGAAGAACACCAGUGGCGAAGGCGGCUCACUGGACCGGUACUGACGCUGAGGUGCGAAAGCGUGGGGAGCAAACAGG
rnacentral:rRNA from 1 species